UACGGAGGGUGCAAGCGUUGUCCGGAUUUAUUGGGUUUAAAGGGUGCGUAGGUGGUUUGUUAAGUCUGGUUUGAAAGCGGGCGGCUCAACCGUCCGAUGUGGCUGGAAACUGGAGGACUUGAAUGGGGUGGCGGCUGCCGGAACGGGUCAUGUAGCGGUGAAAUGCAUAGAUAUGACCCAGAACCCCGAUUGCGAAGGCAGGCAGCUGCGACACGAUUGACUCUGAGGCACGACAGCAUGGGGAGCGAACAGG
rnacentral:rRNA from 1 species